rnacentral:rRNA from 1 species
CCUACGGGAGGCAGCAGUGAGGAAUAUUGGUCAAUGGACGAGAGUCUGAACCAGCCAAGUAGCGUGAAAGAUGACUGCCCUAUGGGUUGUAAACUUCUUUUAUAUGGGAAUAAAAUGUUCCACGUGUGGGCUUUUGUAUGUACCAUAUGAAUAAGGAUCGGCUAACUCCGUGCCAGCAGCCGCGGUAAUACGGAGGAUCCGAGCGUUAUCCGGAUUUAUUGGGUUUAAAGGGAGCGUAGGUGGAUUGUUAAGUCAGUUGUGAAAGUUUGCGGCUCAACCGUAAAAUUGCAGUUGAAACUGGCAGUCUUGAGUACAGUAGAGGUGGGCGGAAUUCGUGGUGUAGCGGUGAAAUGCUUAGAUAUCACGAAGAACUCCGAUUGCGAAGGCAGCUCACUGGACUGCAACUGACACUGAGGCUCGAAAGUGUGGGUAUCAAACAGGAUUAGAUACCCGAGUAGUC